rnacentral:tRNA from 1 species
GGGGUUGUGGCUCAGCGGCAGAGCGCUCACCUAGUACGUGCGGGGCACUGAGUUCAAUCCUCAGUACCACG